AAAUUGAAGAGUUUGAUCAUGGCUCAGAUUGAACGCUGGCGGCAGGCCUAACACAUGCAAGUCGAACGGUAAAAGGAAGCAGCUUGCUGCUUUGCUGACGAGUGGCGGACGGGUGAGUAAUGUCUGGGAAACUGCCUGAUGGAGGGGGAUAACUACUGGAAACGGUGGCUAAUACCGCAUAACGUCGCAAGACCAAAGAGGGGGACCUUCGGGCCUCUUGCCAUCAGAUGUGCCCAGAUGGGAUUAGCUUGUUGGUGAGGUAACGGCUCACCAAGGCGACGAUCCCUAGCUGGUCUGAGAGGAUGACCAGCCACACUGGAACUGAGACACGGUCCAGACUCCUACGGGAGGCAGCAGUGGGGAAUAUUGCACAAUGGGCGCAAGCCUGAUGCAGCCAUGCCGCGUGUAUGAAGAAGGCCUUCGGGUUGUAAAGUACUUUCAGCGGGGAGGAAGGUGUUGUGGUUAAUAACCGCAGCAAUUGACGUUACCCGCAGAAGAAGCACCGGCUAACUCCGUGCCAGCAGCCGCGGUAAUACGGAGGGUGCAAGCGUUAAUCGGAAUUACUGGGCGUAAAGCGCACGCAGGCGGUCUGUCAAGUCGGAUGUGAAAUCCCCGGGCUCAACCUGGGAACUGCAUUCGAAACUGGCAGGCUUGAGUCUUGUAGAGGGGGGUAGAAUUCCAGGUGUAGCGGUGAAAUGCGUAGAGAUCUGGAGGAAUACCGGUGGCGAAGGCGGCCCCCUGGACAAAGACUGACGCUCAGGUGCGAAAGCGUGGGGAGCAAACAGGAUUAGAUACCCUGGUAGUCCACGCCGUAAACGAUGUCUACUUGGAGGUUGUGCCCUUGAGGCGUGGCUUCCGGAGCUAACGCGUUAAGUAGACCGCCUGGGGAGUACGGCCGCAAGGUUAAAACUCAAAUGAAUUGACGGGGGCCCGCACAAGCGGUGGAGCAUGUGGUUUAAUUCGAUGCAACGCGAAGAACCUUACCUGGUCUUGACAUCCACGGAAGUUUUCAGAGAUGAGAAUGUGCCUUCGGGAACCGUGAGACAGGUGCUGCAUGGCUGUCGUCAGCUCGUGUUGUGAAAUGUUGGGUUAAGUCCCGCAACGAGCGCAACCCUUAUCCUUUGUUGCCAGCGGUUAGGCCGGGAACUCAAAGGAGACUGCCAGUGAUAAACUGGAGGAAGGUGGGGAUGACGUCAAGUCAUCAUGGCCCUUACGACCAGGGCUACACACGUGCUACAAUGGCGCAUACAAAGAGAAGCGACCUCGCGAGAGCAAGCGGACCUCAUAAAGUGCGUCGUAGUCCGGAUUGGAGUCUGCAACUCGACUCCAUGAAGUCGGAAUCGCUAGUAAUCGUGGAUCAGAAUGCCACGGUGAAUACGUUCCCGGGCCUUGUACACACCGCCCGUCACACCAUGGGAGUGGGUUGCAAAAGAAGUAGGUAGCUUAACCUUCGGGAGGGCGCUUACCACUUUGUGAUUCAUGACUGGGGUGAAGUCGUAACAAGGUAACCGUAGGGGAACCUGCGGUUGGAUCACCUCCUUA
rnacentral:rRNA from 1 species